UCAUCAGAGAAUUCACACAGGAGAGAAACCUUACAAAUGCAGUGAAUGUGACAAAUGCUUUGUCCAACAAUCCCAUCUUACUGUUCAUCAGAGAAUUCACACAGGAGAGAAACCUUACAAAUGCAGUGAAUGUGACAAAUGCUUUGGCCAACAAUCUCAUCGUAGUAUUCAUCAGAGAAUUCAUACUGGAGAGAAACCUUACAAAUGUAGUCAAUGUGACAAACAUUUUAUCCAAGAAUCCUGUCUUAGGCGUCAUCAGAGAAUUCAUACAGGAGAAAAACCUUACAAAUGUAGUGAAUGUGACAAAUGCUUUACUGUUAAACUCACUCUGAGAAGCCAUAUGAGAAUUCAUACAGGAGAGAAACCUUACAAAUGCAGUGAAUGUGACAAAUGCUUUGGCCGCAAAGGUAGUCUGAGAAUUCAUCAGAGAAUUCACACAGGAGAGAAACCUUACAAAUGCAGUGAAUGUGACAAAUACUUUGGCCGCAAAGGUAGUCUGAGAAUUCAUCAGAGAAUUCACACAGGAGAGAAACCUUACAAAUGUAGUCAAUGCGACAAACGUUUUACCCAAGAAUCUUGUC
rnacentral:lncRNA from 1 species